rnacentral:rRNA from 1 species
AUACGGAGGGUCCGAGCGUUAAUCGGAAUUACUGGACGUAAAGCGCGCGUAGGUAGAUGUAUAAGUCAGAUGUGAAAGCCCUGGGCUCAACCUAGGAACUGCAUUUGAAACUGUACGUCUAGAGUAUGGUAGAGGUGAGUGGAAUUUCAGGUGUAGCGGUGAAAUGCGUAGAGAUCUGAAGGAACAUCAGUGGCGAAGGCGACUCACUGGGCCAUUACUGACACUGAGGUGCGAAAGCGUGGGUAGCAAACAGGAUUAGAAACCCUAGUAGUCC